rnacentral:rRNA from 1 species
GAUCCUGGCUCAGGAUGAACGCUGGCGGCGUGCUUAACACAUGCAAGUCGAGCGAAGCACUUAACUUUGAUUCUUUCGGGAUGAAGAGUUCUGUGACUGAGCGGGCGGACGGGUGAGGUAACCGCGUGGGUAACCUGCCUCAUACAGGGGGAUAACAGUUAGAAAUGGCUGCUAAUACCGCAUAAGACCACAGCACCGCAUGGUGCAGGGGUAAAAACUCCGGUGGUAUGAGAUGGACCCG